rnacentral:rRNA from 1 species
CGGAACUAACAGAUUUACUUCGGUAAUGACGUUAGGAAAGCGAGCGGCGGAUGGGUGAGUAACACGUGGGGAACCUGCCCCAUAGUCUGGGAUACCACUUGGAAACAGGUGCUAAUACCGGAUAAGAAAGCAGAUCGCAUGAUCAGCUUUUAAAAGGCGGCGUAAGCUGUCGCUAUGGGAUGGCCCCGCGGUGCAUUAGCUAGUUGGUAAGGUAAAGGCUUACCAGGGCGAUGAUGCAUAGCCGAGUUGAGAGACUGAUCGGCCACAUUGGGACUGAGACACGGCCCAAACUCCUACGGGAGGCAGCAGUAGGGAAUCUUCCACAAUGGACGCAAGUCUGAUGGAGCAACGCCGCGUGAGUGAAGAAGGUUUUCGGAUCGUAAAGCUCUGUUGUUGGUGAAGAAGGAU